rnacentral:lncRNA from 1 species
CUGGUCCAUGGCUAUCUUUCUUUUCUUACUGUAUCUUGUAACUUCUGUGGUGCUUUAUCGAGAUUUACCAGACACAGGAAGAAGAUGGCCAUCUAAAAGUCAAAAGAAGAAGCCUGGAACAGAUUUUUCCCUCACAGUUCUCAGAAGGAGCCAGUGGUGCCGACAACUUGAUCUAGUCUCCAGAGCUAUACCACAACCAAUUCCACUUAUUUAAGCCACCUAGGUUGUGGUACCUCGCUACAGCAUCACCUAGAAAAUUAAUGCACCUUCAUUACCCAGAGAUAACCUCAGUAAACACUUACUAUACAUUUAAAAAUCUGUGGCCUAUUUCUGUUUACUUAUUCAAAUAUUUUUUUUUCACAUAACACUAAAUUUUGAACAAAUUUUUCAGUCUAUGGCGGUGACGUCUUGUGCCCUACCCUGAAGUCCAUUUUUCCUUCCUCCCAGUAACAAUGCUCUAAUUUUAGUGCUCAAUCAAAAGAUAACAUUUGCAGCC